UCGAUUUCUGAGGGUGUGAUGCCAAUGCACGAACACCAAUAUCACAACCGUUAAUCUCAUCUACAUCUCGAAUGCAGCCAUUAACUACAAUACCUGCCCAGCCCAUAUUCUGGGCUAGUUGUCCCAAGUUUCCUCCUACCAAAGCACAUCGCAUACUCCCUCCACCAUCUAUGACAAGUACUCUUCCUUCACCUCUAGUUUCAAGAAGCUCCCUAACCAACACAUUGUCCUCAAAUACCUUAAGGGUCGUAAUGGGGCCUGAGAAAGCUCGGCAUUGACCAUAUAUCUUGAAGACUGGUGGCAAAACUCGUAGAUCACCAUUUGACAGAUCCCCUGCAUUCACAUCACACACUUCUGCUGUUGCCAAGGAUGCCAUCUAAAACUGUAAACGUUAGCAACUGAAUUAGUUCAUUUUCUUUCCCCGCAGCCAUUAUCUAUCAUAUGCCAGUAAAAAAUAUAGAGAAUGAGAUUAGCUAAAUGGAGAGACAUGGUUAAUGAUGAUAAUAAUCGACCUCAACUUGCUUGGUAGUUGUUAUUAUGCAUCGUUUACCUAUCAUGUUUCAUGUGGCAUGCCUGAAAAUCUCCGGACACCUUAAACAUAAUGCUUGCAUUGCAUUUCUAUGUAGGCAUAAUGACACAAAACAUAUAUUUGAAAUUUCAAUCGAAGUGAUGUUAUCAUAUCUUAAGUUGUCACAGCUUGAAGAACAAAUCAGAACAAAAAAGAAUUCUUAGAACUAAAGUUAUAUCUUCAUUACAAAUGUGUAAAUCUGCUAUAUAGGCCUUGUAGGAGCCAGAAAGACGUUGAGACCGUGCAUAAACUCUUCAUGUAAAUCAACUAUAAGCAGACAGAACCCACAAAUAUCAGCAUUACAGCAAAUAUAAAACCAGCAAGGCAAAAGCAAAACUCCAAAAUAAGAAGGCAGUGCUGCAUAUGAUUGAAAAGGUUGAACAUGGUUAAAAGAUCAGUGCAACCAGUAAUUCAUGAAAAUUGGCUAAAAAUGAAAUUGUAUCUCGAAUCAAGGACCGUGAUGAAUCUACUGGUUCUACCAUAAAAUCAGCUUCCUAUUCCCUAAAAUCCUUAGAAAUUGCAUGACACAUGCUCAGAAUGAUGUGAAACAAACUUAUAUAGAACUGUCAAUCCAUAAAAAACAACAACCAAUAAUAAGAUCGUCUAGAAACAAGGUUAUCAACCAAAGCGGAUUACUGAAUAACUUAGAAGGAUAGAUAUUACUGCGCGCUAUGGAUGGUCCAAUACAGAAUGUAAUGAAAUGGUUGAUAAUAUCUAUAGGUUCUCUGUGAGAACUGCAGUUGAUUAAUACGUUCAACGCAAGAUUCAUACGGGAAAUAACAUCAAGAAAUCUAAUUUCUGCUGGCAUUCUGCAAGAUAUAACUCUCUGCAUUCACAAUAUAUGUUCGCGAUGAGUCAAAAUAAGGGAUCAGAUACUAUAUCUUACUGUUAUACUAGCAAUAUGUAUAUAUAUACAAGUUCACCAAGCAAGAAAUGUUACAAUACCAUAUGUCUACACAAGAAAACUACCAUUAGAGACACACUCCAAUGACAUUAAGCCAGCAGAAUCAGCACACUUUUCCCCAGAAGCAACAAAACAUGCAGAUAAAAGUAACAAUUAUGGCGUGUGACCUAAGGGUCAAUAAAGCGAGUUGAGAAUCAUAAGUUCUCAUAUUUAAAUUCUAGCGAAACAACAACACUAGUUGAGUUUUUCCACCUGUUCAAGCCUAGAUGGACAAAGUUGUCCGGCUAUGUUGCUCAGACUCUCUAAAAAUAUUGCCACACCCAUUCAUAUCCUUCAAAAAUUGCACUACUUUUAGAAGAUCCAACAAGCAUCCACAACAUUUUUGAAGAGUCCGAACAACACAGUUAUCCGGUACCUAUGUUGGUGGGAGGUGGGAGGCAGCAAGCAGGGGAGUAGCUAGAGUGCAAUCUACGUGUUUGGCCGAACUCAUUAGCUUUUGUUCAAACUCUAUACUCAUCUUAAAAAAUCCACUAAAUAUGUACAAAUUAUUAAUUUAAAACCCAGUAACUAGAGUAAACAAGAAUUCCAAAUUCAACAACAACAUAACUAGUGUAAUUCCACUAUGUGCGUUCUGAGAAGGUUAAGAUAUACGCAGACCUUACCACUAUAUCAUGAAAAUAGAGAAAUUGUUUCCGAACUCGUAAACUUUAAACUCGAAUACCAAAGUUGUAAGAAAAGUAACAGUUACAAUUCUGCAGUUGUACUCAUUACAACUGAUUAAAGUUAUAGCCUAAUAGUCACAGUUGAUUACGACUUUCUAACGUAAUAACUAUCAGUAGAGUGAGUGACUAUACGAGAAAUCAACCUAUCGCAGAGUCCUCCAAUCCCAUCAAAACACACAAACAUGGAAUUUUUCUUUAAUUAAAUAAAAUUAUGAGUGUGUGAAGCUAAUUUCAUAUUUUUUUAACCUCAACCAAAGUUUGGGUUUUAUUUAUCCAAAUUCACAAAACCAAAAAAUCAAAAUCAUAAACAAAACAGAUAAAAUCAACACCCAAAAAAAGCAAUAAAGAAUAAAAAAAAUUACCUUUUUAUGAACCUUUAUGGAAUUCAAGAAUGAAGCUCUUGAUGUUGAAAUUGUAAAUUUCGAAGUAGAUCUAAUCUAUAUAUUAUAUAUAAAAUCCAACAUCACUGUUUAUUGAUUCAUACAGUGACGAUGACCUCUCUCAUAUCUUGUUGGUUUUUGUGCCACUCAUCCACAAUUUUCAAUUGGCCAGUGUUCAAUUUAUACCAUUGGAGUUUUCAUUUAUUCGAUUAUUUUGAUUUGAUACAAAAUUUAAAAUGUUAAUUUUUUUAAAUUAAAAAUACGUCCAAUGUAUCAAAAAAAAUCAUUUAUAAUCUUAUUAUUUUAAACAUAUCGCGAGAGUUAAAAUUAAAAUUAAAAUAUUGCUAAAAGAAAAGGAUCAUUUUGAUUAAAAAGAAAAAUAUAUUAAUCAAAUUAAAAUAGAAAUAAUGUUUUUUUAUGCAGUUUCAUAUAUAUAUAUAUAUAAAAAUGAAUUGUAAAUUGAUCAUCAGAGUGAAAGAGCAAAAUAUAACAUAAUAAUUUAAAUGUAAUUUGACACUCAUAAUUGUAUAAUAACUACAAUAAUGAUUGAAGAAAUGAAGUGAUGAGAUUUUAUUGGAAUUUCAAAUAAAAUUUGAAAAAACGGUUAAGUUAUUACCUAAUUAAUAUUAAUAUUCUCCAUUAUUAUGUGAUUUUCUUUCUUAUUUAAGAGUCAUAAUUAUAUAAGAAAAUUUGUAGUUGAGUAUAUUAUUAUGACUUUAUUUAGAGAAGAAAAUAGCAAAGAGAGAAUUUAAGAAAAUGAAAUAAAUGAUAAUAAUGACAAAGUUAUAUGUAUAUUUCUAACUUAGAAGAAGACGGAAGAAAGAGAAGAAUUAGAGGGAGAUUUGAAGAAAUAAAUUAAAUAUUAAUAUAUAUUUUUUUUGAGUUUUUUGAUUAAAAAAAUCAAUAAAAACAGUUUUAAGAAGAUGCCAUCUCACCAUUUUAUUAUCUAAUUUUAGUAUUGUAUAUUUUAGUAGAAAAAAUAAUUUAAAAAUUCAAAAUAAAAAAACAAAACAAAUUUUGUAAAAACAAAUAAUACAAUACUUAUAAAGUUAUAAUAAUUGAUUCCUGGGAUUAAACAAAUAAAUAAAAGAAAGUAAGAAGAACAAAGAAAGGAAAAUGAGUGAUUUAAGAAAAUGAUAUCAAAUAAUAUUAAUAUGAAAUUAAGGGAAUGUGAGAAAGGAUGAAAUGAAUACUUUCACAUAUAGCAAACAAAAAAAUCAUACAUGUAUGCUAUAGCAAAGUUUGCAUAAUUGCGCUCCAUAACAAACAUAUAUAUGUAUAAUUUGCUAUACAUAUACAAUUGAAAGCUGUCUAUUUCGCUAUACAUAUAUACAGAAAGAAACAAUUGUUUAAUUCGUUGGCUCAUCUUCAGAAUUGUAUAAUUUCGCUGGCAGGCCAUUUGUAUAAAUUGUUGUUAGCCUCUCGUUUGUAUAAAUCGUUGACAAAAAUAUUUGUAUAUAAAAAAUCGCUCUCUUUCGCUUUAUACAAACAUAAAUUAUACAUUAUACAAACAUAAAACUGGGCAGGGGAAUAUUUUUAUUGUAUAAUUAUUAAUGUAUAGGACAUUCAUAUAUGUAUUUGCAUGUGUAUAUACAAUUUUCUCGUGCUUUAUACAAACAGAAACGCAAUUUAUACAAUUAUGUUGUAUAAAACGAGAAAGAUAGAAAGACAAAAGAGAACUGGGCAGGAGAAUAUUUUUAUUGUAUAAUUAUAAGUGUAUAAGACGAAUAUAUAUGUAUUUGCAUGGGUAUAUAUAAUUUUCUCUCGCUUUAUACUAACAGAAACACAAUUUAUACACUUUUGUUGUAUAAAGCGAGAGAGGCGAGCACAGAGGGAGUGAGUGAGAGAGGAGAGUGGCGAGCAAGAGUUUGAGGGAGAGAAGCGCUGACAAACAGUUUGCUACAGGACACAAUUAAAUCAAAGUGUGAUUAUACCAUUUAAUUUGAAUUAAUAGUUUGCCAUUAUGUACAAUUUUCCCCAUUAAAAUAUGACUAUUUUAAAUAUAAAAUUGUAAGGUAAAACGUUUAGUUUUUUAAAAUUAGCAAAAAGGCCAAGCAAAAAACAAUUUAAAAAAUAACAAAUAUCUUAUUUAUAGUUUAACAAUGUCGCAUCGGCAAAUAGCCUCUAUUUUUUUUCCUUAUAGCUAAUUAACAAUACCUUAUAAUAUAAAUUGAUAUGAAUUUUAAUAAAUAGUUGUUUUCUUUCUCUAUAUAAUUCUUCCGUGAUCUCCUUCUAAUUUAAUAUAAAUUUCAUAAAUAGAUUGAUUCUUUAUCCAAAUGUUUUUUCUUGCCAUACCAGUUUGUCUAUAUCCAACUUUAUAUAAAUUGUUCACAAUUGUAAUAUUACGUUUAGUAAUUUAUUAAUAAUUGAAGGCUCAAAAGUGUUAUUAGUUCUAUUGGCCAAGGAUAUUUGUGUCAACAUAAGUUGAAAUUAAGAUAUUUUGUUCUGAUCCUACAUCUUGAAAUGAACAUGAUAAUUGCAAGAUAAACUUACAUAUAUUUGUUAAUAUCUUAAUUAGCUUCGUCUAACAAAAAUAAAUACUUUUAAUCAGCCUCGCUGCUCCCCGCAUAGUCAUGUAAUUUGGACGAAAGCUUAGGCAAUUGUGUUGAAGUUUCCUAAUGUGUUGUUUUAUUUCUGAUGUUUUUUGUUUUUUUUUUUUGUUUUUGUUUUGAGCUUUGUAGGUUUCUUUAUUUUGUCCACAAAUGUUCUUAUUUUUUGGAUAUCAAUAAAAUGGGACGAAAUUCGAUUAAGAAAAGAAAAGGAAACUAAGACAUUUUAGGAGGGAAUACUAUAGGAAUUGUGUUGAAGUUUCAUAAUGUGUUCUUUUGCUUAUGAUGUUUUUUUAUAAGUUCGAGCAAUAUAAAUUAUAAUAAAGUUUAAACUAGUCAAGAAAUAAAUAAAUUGAUGAAUAGUUAUAACAACAAUGAAAUCAGCAAUAUAGUAGGUGUUUGGCCAUGUGAUAUCAUAUCAUCAUAUGAAAUUAUGACAUGAAAUCAGUGUUUGGAUAUAUGAUUUCACAUUGAUUUCAACUCAUGAUUUCAUAUCGUGACAUGAAAUUCCAAAUUCACCGAAAAUCAUGAUUUGGAAAUUUUAAUGAUAUUGACACCUAUCAAUUGCAUUUUAUAGACAAUGUUUGUGACAAGGUCAACAAUCAAGUCAUUAAGAAAGUGUUUGAGAUCUCCAUCAAUUAUUACUCAACAGAUAUAUACAUGAGUAACUAAAAGUCUUCGUGAAGCUGAGUUCUGAUAUUCUACGAAAGUUGCUUCUUGGGAUCUACUCAUUAUACCCAUCACUAAAAAUACAUUGUUCUCUUAUGCUCUUAUGGAUCAUUUGGUAACUAGUUAGGAGAUAUGUUAUUCGUAUAUUAAAUCAUGCACAAGUAAUAUAUACUAUGUUUGACAAUCGGUAAGGAUUAUGUAUAAAAUUGAUUUGUUGUUAGAUUUGUACUUUAGAAACGUAUAUAACUAAUAUAUAUAUAAGCUAUAAGGAAAUCUAUGUAUAAUAUAAUGUAGGAAAUAAGAUGGAACAACCAAUACAUAAAUAACAAAAUCUAACAUAAAAUAAUACAAAAAAAAAUUCAUAACUAAUUCAUGUAUUGCUAAUACAUGUAUAACUCUAACCAGCUAUCAAACGACCCCUAAGCGGACGUUGGGUAGUUGGUUAGAGUUAUAUACGUAUUACUAUACUAGUAAUUAGAAAUUUUUAUGUAUUAUUUUAUGCAUGUAUUAGUUACGUAGAGUUUAAUUAGUUCUUUAUGUACUAAUUAUUCUUUCUUCUAUCAUGUAUAAAAUAAUAUAAGAUUCAUCAUAACUUUUACAUGUAUUAGUAACGUGAAUUUAUAAAUUGUAAGUCAAACAUCAUUUUAAUAUUAUAUAUAAAUAACUCACUUCUUAACUGGAUACUAAACAUUGUACUCCUUUCGUCCAUCUUUACUUGUUCACUAUAUUAUUUCGAGAUAUCUAAUAAGUAAUACUUAUCAAGUAAAUAAAAUCAACUAAUUUUUCUAUAAUGUUUACAUUAAUUAAACAUGAUAUAAUUAUAAAAUCGCAUAGUAUUUUGAUGGUUUUAAUUUGUGUAUUCUCAAGCCACGUCUAUAAAUUUAAUUAUAUUGUUUUUUUUUUAGUUUUAGUGAAAAAACAUAAAGUUAAUUAUAUUGUUUUUUUUUUAGUUUUAGUGAAAAAACAUAAAGUUAAUUAUAUUGUUUUUUUUUUAGUUUUAGUGAAAAAAUAUAAAGGACUAUUUAUUGUAUUUUUUUGGGAAAAAGGUCAAAAAUACCCCUCAACUUUGGUUUAUUGUUUGACUUUACCCUCGCCGUUAAAAUGAAGUUAAUUUUACUCCUUUCGUUACUAAUUUCACCAAAUUUACCCCUCAAUUGGAUGGAAAACCCAAAUCAACUAAAAUUACCCAAUUUCAAUUAAAUAACCCAAUUUUUUCUCUUUUUAAUCCAAACCCGACCCAUUUAUACCAAAUUAAAACCCCAAAUCAAGCUCCGGCGAUCUCCAUCCAUUUUCUCCGUUUUCCGGCUAAACACCACCAAAACAACCUCCAAACGACCACCUGAAACCACCACUCAAAACCCCCAAAAACCAGAAACGACAUCAAGUAGAAAACAUUAACAACAAACCCAUUUUCCUCUACUUUCCGAUGACGACAACAAGAUCUUUCUUCUCCAUUUCCGGCCAGUUCCAAGCUGGAACAACAUUAACCAAACCACCCACCGUCGGAAUCAUUCAAACAACCGUGAAAUCGACCCGAAACAACUCUCAAACACCACCCUCUCCAUGCCAAAAUCCAGCGGUAAAACCACACUUCAGCCCACCAGAACCCAGACCUCCAUCACCCAAGCUAAAACAACCAGCAAAUGACCACCAGACCAGUAAUUCUCCGACCUCCAAACAACCAACCAAAAAAACCCCGACCAAAACCCCAUCGGAAAACAACUGAAGCACCGCUAACAGAUCAAACCAACAACACAAUCAGGCGAGAAUCAAGGCUCGAAAACAACAGCCACAACUUCAUAUCUGGCUAGGCUCAACAAGCAAGCAAUAUCAUAGUUUCAGAUCUGCCCGCAGGAAAGCAAAAUCCGAUGAUUGAACGAGCUCCAAGCUCCGACUAGUGGUGCAAUUUUAGUAGGAAGGACAAAUAUGCAUUAACCACACUAGUGUGCUAAAUCUCUCUAAUCUUCUUCAUAUACUUCCUCUAUUGAAUGUGGUCAUGGAGGAAACCCACUGUCAAUCUUGGAUGGGAUUUUCAUUGCAGUCAAGGAUGACAUUGAUUGCUAUUUUCAUCCGGGUAUUUGUUUAAUUUCAUAUUUCCUCUGUAAAUAUCUCUGUCAUUUUUAGCUGAACAUUUUUCCCUGUUAAAAAGUGCAAGUGGUUCUAAAUGGUUUCAUGAGGUUUGUCAGGUGAAGGCAGAUGGGGUUUCUGUGUCAAGAUUACGAAAUAGUGGUGAAAUUUUAGUAGGAAGGACAAAUAUGCAUGAGUUUAACUACAGAACAUUUGCUGUCAAUUUUAGUAGUAUGUGUUUCAAUGGAAGAAGGAGAUGGAGAAGAUUAGAGAGAUGGGUUUAGGGUUCUAAUUUGAUAUAAAUGGGUCGGGUUCGGAUUAAAAGAGAAAAUCGGGUCAUUUACUUGAAAUUGGGUAAUUUUAGUUGAUUUGGAUUUUUCAUCCAAUUGAGGGCAAAGGGUCAAAUAUACCCCUCAACUUUGGACGGAUCGGGCAUUGGGUUUAAAAUGGGGAGUGGGUCUUUUUUUAAAAUUUGGGUUAAAUUGAGUCAAUUUGGGGAUUUCCGUCAAUUGAGGGGUAAAUUUGGUGAAAUUAGUAAUGGGAGGGAUAAAAUUAACUUCAUUUUAACGGUGAGGAUAAAGUCAAACAAUAAACCAAAGUUGAGGGAUAUUUUUGACCCUUUAAAAGAAAGAGACAGAUAAAAUAGUAGUGCUCUACAAGUGGCGUCCUCAUCCAGCAGCGGCUUAACGUUCAAGCUCCACCCGCUCGUUUUACUCAACAUAUCCGAUCACUACACUCGGGUCAAAUCUCACGCCACCGGUUCCGAUGCCGGUGCUGGUUCCAGCGCCGGCACCGAUUCCCCUCCGCCACCGCCUAUGGUAUUUGGUUGCGUCAUCGGUGUACAGUGAGGCCGAACAGUUGAGAUCUUCAACAGCUUCGAACUUCUUUAUGAUCCAUCUACUCACUCAAUUGACCGUGCCUUCCUUGAGAAGAAACAGGAGCUCUGUUAGUUUAUUCUUUCCUUAAAGGUUGUGAUUCUAUACAAGGAGAAUUAGGUGGAGUUUGGAUGAUUUCUCUGAUUGCAUAAACAAUUUUUGCAAAACAUUGUUUAAAUUUUCUAUUAAAGCUGUGCUUGGAUGAUAUAUUCUCAUUGUUUUUCUCGUCCAAUGGUCAUGUUUGAGAUUAAACAGUAAUGUAUGGGCGGAAAAUCCUCCCAACAAAGUGAUGUUAGAUUUUUUACACUCCACCUAAGUUUCCUUGGAUUGUUUUGGUGAUAUAAUUGAUAUACUAAUGUUGGCAAUUUUGAGCAGAUAAGAAGGUGUUUCCUAAUUUCUAUAUACUGGGAUGGUAUUCAACGGGGAGUGAUGCUCAGGAAUCAGAUAAGAACAUUCACAGAGCUAUGAGUUCUUUUUCUUUGCUUAAAGUAGUGCUUAUUUAAUGCAUCGGUUCAUUUAGAUAUGGAAUUAUAUUCUUAUUUAGAUGUUACAUUUGUGGUAGUGAAGUGAAAUAAUAAACUAAUAGUUAUGUAUGUGGCAAAAUCGGAUCUAGUGGAAAGAGCGAAUUACACCAUGACAAGUGGGUGAGACUGAAUAUACGAAGGAACACCUGCCGGUGAUCCGGGGAGAACUGAGAAGACUCUCCCCGGUAUGGCAUAUGAAGCCUUAGACACCUGCUCGUGCAGGAUGUUUGUAGCCGAUCAUCUAAGAGAAGCCUCACCCGGAGAAGCUCACCUUACACCUGGAAACAGUCACAAUUAACCUCGGUAGAUCAACAAUCAAUCUCGAGCCGCGAGCCCACAUGUCCCAAUCAGUUUCAAGUGAGGCAUUUAAGCAUAAUUACACGCUAUGUGAUAAUCUUUUCAGUACCCAAGUGUGCUGUCGUUUCACAUUGAGUUGACAACUCAGUUAUUACACCUACACCACGGUCAUAAAAAAAACUCAGUUUUUACACCUAUAAAAGGAGGUUUUUGAGAGCUUAGAGAAUGCUGUGUAGAAGAUCCUGAACUUCAUCUUACUGCUAUGUUUUUGUUUUUGGUGUAAUCAGAUUUACUCUAAUAAUACUGUGUCUAUCAUAGAUGUUCUAGAUUCUUUAUUGCUAGAGAGGCAAGGCACUAGAGCUCUAUUGUAAAUAUGGUUUCAGUACUAUGGGUAGUACUGUUUUGAUACUUGAUAUGAUACAAAGUUACUGAUUUCAAAAAGGAGGUUUUGCAGAGAAUAGAAGACAUUAGAAAGGCACGAGAGCUCUAUUGUAAAUAUGGUUUCAGUACUAUGGGUAGUACUGUUUUGAUACUUGAUAUGAUACAAAGUUACUGAUUUCAAAAAGGAGGUUUUCCGGAGAAUAGAAGACAUUAGAAAAAGUCCCAAGAGGUUUUGAUCCUUGAUAUGAUACAAAGUUACUGAUUUCAAAAAGGAGGUUUUCCGGAGAAUAGAAGACAUUAGAAAAAGUCCCAAGAGGUUUUGAUCCUUGAUAUGAUACAAAGUUAUUGGUUUCAAAAAGGAGGUUUUGCAGAGAAUAGAAGACAUUAGAAAGGCACGAGAGCUCUAUUGUAAAUAUGGUUUCAGUACUUGGGUAGUACUGUUUUGAUCCUUGAUAUGAUACAAAGUUCCCCCCCCCGCUCUUCCUUUUAGCAUCUCCAUGAAAGAGGCUUUAAUACCCCCUUCCCUCAUGUACUAUACAUCUUCUUUGGGACGAUCUUAUUCUUGAAUUAGAUCACGAGUUUGUCCCUUUUAGCCUAAAGGAAAUGAACUUGAUCAGUCUUAGCCCACUUAUCUUUAACCUCUUUUCACAAAUUCAACUGUUAAACAAAAUGAUGAUUUUUACGGAAAACAAGUUGAUAAGUUAGUUUCAUAAAAAAGAAAUAAACACAGCAAAAUUUAAAAUUUUGAAUGGUGUAGUUAAAUGAAUUUGAAGCCCUAAAACAGAGAGAAUGUAAAUUAUGUGAUAGAAAUCUGGACAAGGAAGUAUUGUCUCAUAAUCAAGUUAUUUCUUGUUUAUGUUUUUCUCUUUUCUGUUCAAUUGUGUUUGCUCAGUAAUUGAGAGGUGUGAGUGUGAGUUAUAACCAUCUUUUUUAUGUUUUUGAUUCUUCAUCAUCUAGACUUUAAUGUCUAUCCAUCUGGUGUGCAUGUAUUCAUUCAAGUCAAGUAAUAUCUCUCUUAUGGAGAAACGGACUGGGUUUGCCUCCCAGUUAUUUGAUGAACUACUUAAUUGUCUAAACUAAGGUCGUCAACUUCUACAACCUGUAGAUAUUAAAUAUAGUAGUAGUUUUCUAAGGCUAUAACGGAUUAAUCCAAUCUAAACAACAUACAUUUUCUACUAGGUAUAGUAGUAGUUAUGUAAAGCUACAACGAAUUAACCCAAUGUAAGAAACAUACUCUUCACUGGAUAGUUGAUAAAUGCAUGUGCGAGAAGAUGCUUAUAUGAAAAGGGUAAAAUAUGACUAUAUAAAUAUGAUGCUUAUUAGGAGUUGAUGUUUGUGAACUAGAAGAAUUAUGUAUCUUAGACAUGGGUAUGCGCUAUGCCUUUAUUGUUAGCUUUGUUUGUAUUAGGUCAAGUGAAGUUUUAGAAAUUGAGAAUAGGAUAUGAAUUUGGACACUACAUGGACUAUACACGCUGAUACUUCAUAAAAUCUGUAAAAAUAAAGAAACAAACUGUGUAUCUAUUUCUGUGGGAAUGCAAUUUUUCUUUGAUAAGUCAAUUCUUAGGGUAAGAUAUCAAUAGCAUGCUGAGUAAAAGAUGCUGACACCCAUAUCCCUGGAAAAGUAGUAGGCCUUCUAGUGAUAUAUAGGAGAUACCAUAGCAUCACGCUUUCUAGGAGUUCCUUCUUGGCUAAUGGUAUCCUAGCCACUUGCUAAACUCAAGGUCUAGUGUUUGAAUGUUUUUUUGGGGAAAAAGUGGCUGUGAUGCUCUUCUGAUCAUAGAGAAAUGUAUCGAGGGCGUGAGGUACAAAUAACCGUGUGAGGGCAAGUAGCCAAGGAGUAAAUGAGGAAAAACCUCCCAGAACUCUGGAAAAAACUGAAAAUAGUAAGUUGUUGAAAUUUUCCAUCUAUAAGCUGGAAGCAUCCUCUAUCAAAGCAUUGAAGCAGCAUAUACAAUCCAAGCUCCAUACCAGGUGGAUAAGCUGCCUUGGCACUCAACAGCCUGAAGAAUAUUGUGUACUCUGUGCAGACUGUGCAUUGGAGAAUGAGCUAAACAUGUGCUGUAUGCUUAAGAAUGAACACUAUAAGUUAAUUCAAUUUGCAUAUUUUUGACUGUAUUCUCCUCGAGAUCUUCUGAAUUCUUUGAUACAUACUUGUUCUUUGGGUGAUACUAGCUGCCUAUAAUCUGGUGACUAGGUCCAGCUUGUGAUAUCCCAUUAGUUUAAAUCGUUAUAAUAUUUCCUUUUCUAGAAUGUGUUGAGAAUGGCAUCUAGGCCCAUGAUUCCAGAAUAACUUCGUUCUGCUCUCUAGAUGAAUAAUCUGCAUUUGCUUUUCCUAUAGAGCAUCGGUUUUUCCCUUCAGUUUUUGUCAAGGCAUAACACUAGCAUAUUUUGUUGUAUCAGUUGAUGGAUAUCAAUGAAAGUCCUUUGUACGUUCUUCUCAAUCCUUCUAUCAUUCACGCACAGAAGGACUUGCCAAUCACUAUCUAUGAAAGUGGUACGUGUAUAUUAUUUGUCAUAUUACUGAUGCUCUGUCAUAUUACUUGUAUUAUCUCCUUUCUGGGUGGCAGAUAACAUAUUUUAUACAGAGCCUUCCACCACAACCCCUUCAUUAUUGUUCUAACCAUUUCUCAAAUGAUUUUGGGGUUUAUGCCUUGUGUGCCAAACCAUGAUUCAUAAACUUUGCAGAAAUUCCAAUUAGAAUAUCUUCUUGUGUCCAUCUUUUGAGCUCCUAAAGUUACUGAUGAGAAUUUACUGGUUUUUUUUUUUGUGUUUUGAAACUAUUUAUGGAUACUCAAAGAGUUGCAUAUCAUUGAUGGCAUCCCACAGCUUAUUUUUGCCCAAGCAAGCUACACAAUAGAGAUAUUUCCUUAUGCAUUUAUCAUAUCAUCUUUUCCACAAAUUAUUCGGAACAUCUAAUGAAUUCGUUCUCACUUGCAAUACCUGACUGUUUACUAGACUGUUGAAGCUGAACGGAUAUCUGUUGAUCAUGUUGCACAUCUUAAACCAUCUGAUGGAGGCUCUGCUGCAACUCAGUGUGAGCACCUUUAACUUCAUUUGUCUUCGCAGAACUCAAGAAGCUUUUAUUGAUGCUUUAUACAAAGUAGAAUGCUCUUACUGUUGCCCUAACUUUUUAGUGAUAUGGUUUGUCUAUUAUUUAUUUAUUAGUUGUAUUUGUGCAGUGGCUGCGCACCUUACCGGCACACAUAGUGCCAUCAAGAUGCUGAACAACAGAAUUAGAGUGCUACAUCAUUAUCUUCUUGCUAUGCAAAAAGGUAUCCAGUUUUGGCUAGAAGUUGAAGCUACAUUCUAGUUGAUUGUCGAAGUUCCUUAUUGUGGAAAAAACACUUUUCAAGUUUACUGGGAGAAUACUCACCACGAAAUAUAGUUUUAGAUAAAACCUGGAUACUAGUUGACAUAUAUAUUUUGCAUCUGAAAGUCUAAGAUGCUUAGAUAGCCUCAUGAACUAUCCUAGUCAAGAAAAUGUAUCUUUACUUGAAACUGUUUUUGGAGAAUGUUAGUCUCACAAACUUUUUCGACAAUUAACAUGGAAAUGGAAGAGAAUAUUUUUUCAUGGUGCAGUGGCUGUAGAGUUUUAAUGUCUUCUCUGUUGGGUGUAGGUGAAAUUCCUUGUGAGAAUUCAUUUGCUCAGGCAGGUCUCCAGUCUUUUAAGAAGAUCACCAACAAUUGAGUCGGAGAAAUUUCGAGAUGAUUUCUUGAUGGUAGGUGUUGUUUGACCUUGUUAUUGGAGUUGACGUGGUUAUAGUAAUGUAGCCUUUCAGUAUUCUCUCUUUUUUUUAAAAAAAAACUUUGGAGUUGGAAAUGUCUCUUUAUUUGCAGGAUAUUUUGUAAGAGUUUUCUAAUAAGACUUUCAUCAGCUUCAAAUAAUUACUAUGUAAUUGCAACGUUGGAAACUGCUAACUAGAAAUUUUCAUAUUUGUUCUAGGUCCACUAAUCAGCUUUUGCCACUUUCUGAUUCUAUUACUUUAUUUGCUCUUUUCUUAUGUGCAGGAAUAUAAUGACACAUUGUUAGUUAGUUACCUGGCCAUGUUCACCAACUGCUCUAGGUAUGAUAUCCAAGGCUUCUUGCACUAAUGCUUUUGAGAUUUGUACAAGUAGUUGACUCUUUUUCCCCCUUUACUCCUUUUUAUUUUUCAUUAUUAAAGAAAUAUCCCAGAUUAUUGUGUUGACAAUAGGGCUAAAGUUCAGAUAAUAAUGGUUUUUGCCGAAGUUGCAUUAAGUUUAAGUGGAAAUGCAGAUAAAAUUGAGGUGUCCUGUGAAUUUGGUAAAGAUAUCAAUUAUUUGGUACAAAGCAGAGUCAUUAAAAUAGUAAUUGGUACAUCCUUAUUAGAUAAUACUGAAUGAAACAAUACAUCUUUUCAAACAACACAACACAAUCCAAGAUUUUUGACUCCUAUAUGGCUUUGAUCAUAAAUCUAAAGACACAGAGCUGGAGUAGAUAACUUCAUGGAUCUCAAAAUUAGAUCGAUAAUUCGGUUUUUGAUACGAGGAUGCCAUCACUAUCUGCAUAUAACCACUCUCCUUCACGAAUCAUCAUACCUCCAAUGUAAAUAGGGACAUGCUUUUCGCUUUGGCAUUUCUUGUUCGGUUUCUGAGGGUGUGAUGCCAAUGCACGAACACCAAUGUCACAACCGUUAAUCUCAAUGGAUUUCUUUUUCUUUUCAAAAACUCCAUUUUUCUCAUUUUUCUGAGCAUGUUUUUGAAAAAUUCACUUCAUUGAGUUAGUCAGACCACCUCUGGUUCAAAUCGAAUUUCAAAUGGAAGAAAUCCACAGAUUGCCAGAAUCCAUGUUGUAUAUUUGAAAGAGGUUGACCUCCUAUCUACAUCUCGAAUGCAGCCAUUAACUACAAUACCUGCCCAGCCCAUAUUCUGGGCUAGUUGUCCCAAGUUUCCUCCUAACAAAGCACAUCGCAUACUCCCUCCACCAUCUAUGACAAGGACUCUUCCUUCACCUCUAGUUUCAAGAAGCUCCCUAACCAGCAC
rnacentral:lncRNA from 1 species